rnacentral:rRNA from 1 species
CGCUGGCGGUAUGCCUAAGACAUGCAAGUCGUACGCGAAAGUUUCUUCGGAAAUGAGUAAAGUGGCGCACGGGUGAGUAAUAUUUAGGUAAUGUACCCUUUCGCUGAGGAUAACAAGGGGAAACUCUUGCUAAUACUGAAUGACCCGCUUUUUACUUCGGUUUAAAUCGGGAAAGCCGUAAGGCGCGAAAGGAGCAGCCUGAACACCAUUAGCUAGUUGGUAGGGUAAAAGCCUACCAAGGCUAUGAUGGUUAGCUGGUCUGAGAGGAUGAUCAGCCACACUGGCACUGAAACACGGGCCAGACUCCUACGGGAGGCAGCAGUUAGGAAUUUUGCGCAAUGGGGGAAACCCUGACGCAGCAAUACCGCGUGGGCGAUGAAGGCCUUCGGGUUGUAAAGCCCUUUUAGUUGGGAAGAAAAAAAUGACGGUACCAACAGAAAAAGCACCGGCUAACUCUGUGCCAGCAGCCGCGGUAAUACAGAGGGUGCGAGCGUUAUUCGGAAUUACUGGGCGUAAAGAGAGUGUAGGCGGUUUGAUAAGUCUGAUGUGAAAGCCCUAGGCUUAACCUAGGAAGUGCAUUGGAUACUGUUAGACUAGAGUAUGAGAGAGGAAAGCGGAAUUCCUGGUGUAGAGGUGAAAUUCGUAGAUAUCAGGAGGAACAACGGAGGCGAAGGCGGCUUUCUGGAUCAUAACUGACGCUAAGGCUCGA